CAGUGACUCCCCCCAGCCCAGAGCAGCGAAAUGCGGCGAAGGAGCUUGGUUGUAGGUCGGCGCAGGUGCUGGCUGGGUGCUGGGGACAGGCUGCAGUGUCCCGGGGGGAGCAGGGACAGGACAAGACUGUGCUGGGUGUCACCACUGGGCUGUGGCUGAUCAACUAAACUGAUUGUGGCAGCUGGGAGGAACUGGAAUGAAACACCCUGAUCUGCUGCUCUGCAAUCAUGGUCUGUGGAACCUCCCAGUGUGACAUGAACAGCUGUGGUGGUAGAACUGGAUCCAAGCAUGGACUGAAACAGCCUUUGGCAGAGGUGUUGGUACAUGGGCGCAAGACUGUAUGAGGUUUCACAUCCCCGUGUCCUCUGGGGCAAGAGGAGAAGAAUGGCUUCUGCUUGAGCGAUGGGAAACGUGGAGGUGUCCCUGAGUCCUUCAGGAUGGAGGAGUGUUCCCCCACCCAGAGGUGCCUGGGGCUACAGGCAGAAGGUCCUGGUGGUGGCUGUGCUGGUGGCUCUGGUCCUGGCUCUGGCCGUGGCUGUUGCUGGACUCUCAGGGCUCCAUGGGGGAGAGGAACGGGUUCUGCUCCAGCAGUGGGAGCGUGGAGGAGCCCCUGAGUCCCCCUGAUGGAGGGGCGUCCCCCCACCUGGAGGUGUCCUGUGGUGGGACGGUGUGUGAGCCAAUGCAGGCAGGACGCAGGAACAACCAGGAGACCGCAAAUAAAGGAACAGAACAAGUUUAAUCUUGAUACCUCACAACUCGGGGAGUCCCCGAAGCAGCACCCAGGUGGAGACAGGCAAGCAGGGACCGCAGGGACCGCAAAGCCAGUAAGAGUCCUUGUGAGCCAGCCAGCCAGCCUCCUUGCUGUUUGUUUGUUAGCCAGCUAGCCGGCCAGCGUCCUUGCUGUCUGUUAGUUAGCCAGCCCGCCAGCCUCCUUGCUGUCUGUGUGUUAGCCAGCCAGCCUCUUUGCUGUUAGGCUGUUAGCCCUAUAAACUGUGGGUCUUCGCCCCCCGCCUUACCUCUCUUCCCACCCAGCGACCGCUGCUGCCCUGGAAAGGGAAAGGUGUUAAUACCGCGGCUUCGGGGCACCAAACCCCACCCCAAGUCUGCUCCGAACGUGAUCCCCGAGCAACGGGACUGAAAGUGAUGAAAUUGCUUCACAGCCACGUGACAGGGUUCCUGAACCACAAAUGAUUUACCAUAUGAUUUUCACCCAAACCCGGGGCGGGGCCGGGCGGAUCGUGAGGGGAGGGGCGGGUUCUGAGGGAGAGUUCAGGCGGCGAUAAAUAGUCAGAUCGGGUGGGCGGCCAGGGAUAUAAAUACAGACUUUAUCCGCCGGUCUGGCGUGACGAGCGGAGCAGUUUGUGUGCGCGGGCUGACUCGGUGUAACCCGUGGGGCAGGUAAGGCCCGUCCAUGGGCACUGCUGGGGCCCCGGUCGCUCGUUGGGGGCUGUGGGGAAGGGCUCCCGUCGGGCUGGGGCUCCCCGUGCGCCCCCGCCAUCGCCCGCCUCCCUCCGGGGCCGGGGAGGCAGCGGCUGGUGGUGGCCUCCCCCUGCCCGCUGUGCCCUGGGCGGGUUUUGGGGUCUGCGGGGUCCGGA